UAAGUGGAGAGUUUGAUCCUGGCUCAGAACGAACGCUGGCGGCGUGCUUAACACAUGCAAGUCGAGCGAGAAAGGGGGGGCAACCCCCUGAGUAGAGCGGCGCACGGGUGAGUAACGCGUGGGUAACCUACCCUCAGGCGGGGGAUAACCACUCGAAAGGGUGGCUAAUACCGCAUGAGACCACGGGAUCUUCGGAUCCUGAGGCUAAAGAUCGCACCGGCUUGCCGGUGCUGUCACCAGGGGAUGGGCCCGCGUCCGAUUAGCUAGUUGGCGAGGUAAUGGCUCACCAAGGCUUCGAUCGGUAGCUGGUCUGAGAGGAUGAUCAGCCACACUGGAACUGAAACACGGUCCAGACUCCUACGGGAGGCAGCAGUGAGGAAUAUUGCGCAAUGGGGGAAACCCUGACGCAGCAACGCCGCGUGGGUGAAGAAGGCCUUCGGGUCGUAAAGCCCUGUCAGCCGGGACGAAUUUCCUGGUUGGAUAAUGGCCAGGGGUGACGGUACCGGCAGAGGAAGCCCCGGCUAACUACGUGCCAGCAGCCGCGGUAAUACGUAGGGGGCGAGCGUUGUCCGGAAUCA
rnacentral:rRNA from 1 species